rnacentral:rRNA from 1 species
AUUGAACGCUGGCGGCAGGCCUAACACAUGCAAGUCGAGCGAGCGGCGGAUGGGUGCGUAAUGCCUGGCAAUUGCCCAGUCGAGGGGGAUAACAGUUGGAAACGACUGCUAAUACUGCAUACGAUUGGAUUGCCCAGGUGGGAUUAGCUAGUAGGAGAGGUAACGGCUCACCAAGGCGACGAUCCCUAGCUGGUCUGAGAGGAUGAUCAGCCACACUGGAACUGAGACACGGUCCAGACUCCAACGGGAGGCAGCAGUGGGGAAUAGUGCACAAUGGGGGAAACCCUGAUACAGCCAUGCAGCGAGUGUGAAGAAGGCCUUCGGGUUGGAAAGCACUUUAAGCGAGGAGGCGUGACGCGCAGAAGAAGCACCGGAUAACUCCGUGCCAGCAGCCGCGGUAAUUC